rnacentral:lncRNA from 1 species
AUGCCCUAUGGGGACAUUGGGGACGUUGUACCCUGUGGGGACAUUAGGGACACAGUGCCCUAUGGGGACACUGGGAACACGGUGCCCUAUGGGGUCCUUGGGGUUGCGGUGCCCUAUGGGGACAUUGGGGACACAAUGCCCUAUGGGGACACUGGGAACACGGUGCCCUAUGGGGUCCUUGGGGAUGUGGUGCCCUAUGGGAAUUUUGGGGACACAAUGCCCUAUGAGGACACGAUGCCCAUUGGGAACGUGGUGCCCUAUGGGGACAUUAGGGACACAGUGCCCUAUGGGGACAUUGGGGACAUGGUGCCUGUGGGGUCCUUAGGGAUGCGGUGCCUUAUGGGGACAUUAGGGACACAGUGCCCUAUGGGGUCCUUGGGGACAUGGUGCCCUAUGGGGACAUUAGGGACACAGUGCCCUAUGGGGUCCUUGGGGUUGCGGUGCCCUAUGGGGAUUUUGGGGACGCGAUGCCCUAUGGGGUCCUUGGGGACAUGGUGUCCUAUGGAGACAUUGGGGACGUGGUGCCCUAUGGAGACAUUGGGGACACGAUGCCCUAUGGGGACACUGGAAACACGGUGCCCUAUGGGGUCCUUGGGGAUGUGGUGCCCUAUGGGAAUUUUGGGGACACGAUGCCCUAUGGGGACAUUAGGCACACAGUGCCCUAUGGGGUCCUUGGGGGACGUGGUUCCCUAUGUGGACAUUGGGGACACGAUGCCCUAUGGGGACACUGGGAACAUGGUGCUCUAUGGGGUCCUUGGGGACACGAUGCCCUAUGGGGUCCUUGGGGGACGUGGUUCCCUAUGGGGACAUUGGGGAUGCACUGCCCUAUGGGGACAGUGGGGACACGAUGCCCCAUGGGGUCCUUGGGGUUGCGGUGCCCUAUGGGGACAUUGGGGACACGAUGCCCUAUGGGGACACUGGGAACAUGGUGCCCUAUGGGGUCCUUGGGGACAUGGUGCCCUAUGGGGACAUUGGGGAUGCACUGCCCUAUGGGGACAGUGGGGACACGAUGCCCCAUGGGGUCCUUGGGGUGCUCAGGGCCGUCCCCAUGACAGAGCUGCCCCCAACCCACAGCCCCACAGGGAUGAAUGGGGUGUGUGUGUGGGGGGGGGGGGCUCGUUAGGCCUGCACACGGCCCAGCCCCGCUAA